AAAUGAUCUGAUCUAAUUGUACAUAUCAGGCUGUUCCCUCACCUUCUCAGGCAGUCAGCUCCAUUUCUAAAUGUUCUCACUGAACGGGAACGUAUCUGUGUGACAGGUCUUUCUAUCCAUAAUGUAAUGCCUCUGGUUAUUGACUGGAAGGAAUGGACGAAUGACAGCAGGUAAAGAUUGUUCAUCUGAGUCGGUUUUGUUAUAACAAACAUCCCGGUUGCCCUGAAAAUGGGUUGGUUAAAAUUCUAUGUGCUGAUGGACGGCAUAGUUUAAGUUCCUGAAGUGGGUAAAUGUUGGUGUAGCUGUUAGAAUAUCCCUCAUUAUCAGGUUGUACACUGAAAAACACACAAAAUAAACCUUUCUUGCUGUAGAGAUAGUUGCUCUAAGAGCAACUAUCUGGCGCAGGCGAUUGGUAAAAUAUAUUUGUCUCUCAAACUGCUGGAUGAGUUAGACUCUCGGGAGAAUUGCAGAGAAACAACCAAAAAGGGGGGACCAGGAUGAGAAAGAGACAAAGAGAGAGCGAUAAUUGGCAAGAAAUAGAAAGACUUUUGGAAGGAGAGAAAGGUAGUCAGGAACACACACAAGAACCCCUAUAACUCUUUACAAUUUUAGAGGCAUCAUCUAUGUGAAAGAGCCCUCGCUGUCUCAACUGCUAAUUGACAGAGACACAACGUGUUCUGCUGCUGUGUGGCAAGUAUCCAUGCUGAACACCACAGUCUCCUCAUACAGCAUGUUUCUAUAAAACUGUCAAACACACCAAAAGUGACACCUGCGUUGAGACCUGCCAGACUCGAGGCCACAUACUGAAACGGACCCUGCUCAUGACCCUUUGACCCGAGGUUCCGUUCAUCUCCUUUAAUGUGUGUAUCCACUGAGGUCGGUGUGGUGGAUUACCUUUCUCUGGCUGACGAUGGAUACCGGUGCCAAGAAAAAGGGUCCAAGCUGCUUCCCAGGAGAGACUGGUUGGAGCGCAGGCGGUCGGGUGGGACCGGGCCUCAGCGGAGCGGAGACGUGCAGGGUCAGAAGACAGAGGUCGGUGGAGAUCAGUGAUGCCGGGGUCGUACCUCCUCCAGACUAUCAGCAGGAGCCUGGGGAGAGCAGAGCUGUGACUCUGUGUCGUCCCAGGGUGAGAAUACACAGUCCUGCUGUGGAAUCAGGAGACAGACGUUUGGGAUGCCAGAUGAUACUCCUCUUAAACCCCCUCGUCCCCUCUCCUUGUCCCCUCUCCUCAUCCCCUCUCCUCAUUCCCUCUCCGCGUCCCCUCUCUGGAU
ensembl:lncRNA